rnacentral:lncRNA from 1 species
GAGGACUACCAUCUAUGCUCUCUCCUGUUUGUAGGACACAUCAUCCAGUGACAGUGACUCAGAUGAUGAUGGGGGUGACCGGCUCUCUCCACUUCUUCCCCAUGACCACCUGGGCCUGGCGGUGUUCUCUGUGCUGUGCUGCUUUUGGCCUGUGGGCAUCGCUGCCUUCUGUCUGGCCCACAAGACCCGCCCUAGUUGCUCUUCGGCCCCCACUGUGAAUGCAGAGACCAGAGGACCAUCAAACCCGUGAGCAGAAUGGAUGAUCUUGGUGCACACAUGGUGACGGCGAGGACAUCACUCAGAAACAAGUCAGCUGGAGGUCCCCUCCCUUUCCUGGCCACCCCCACCCUCCAGAAAGAAGCAAUGUGAGAGAUUAAAGAUACCCUGAAGCC